GACGAACGCUGGCGGCGUGCUUAACACAUGCAAGUCGAACGGUAAGGCCCUUCGGGGUACACGAGUGGCGAACGGGUGAGUAACACGUGGGUAAUCUGCCCUGCACUUCGGGAUAAGCCUGGGAAACUGGGUCUAAUACCGGAUAGGACCACUGCCUGCAUGGGUGGUGGUGGAAAGCUUUUGCGGUGUGGAAUGGGCCCGCGGCCUAUCAGCUUGUUGGUGGGGUGAUGGCCUACCAAGGCGACGACGGGUAGCCGGCCUGAGAGGGUGACCGGCCACACUGGGACUGAGAUACGGCCCAGACUCCUACGGGAGGCAGCAGUGGGGAAUAUUGCACAAUGGGCGCAAGCCUGAUGCAGCGACGCCGCGUGAGGGAUGACGGCCUUCGGGUUGUAAACCUCUUUCAGCACCGACGAAGCGCAAGUGACGGUAGGUGCAGAAGAAGGACCGGCCAACUACGUGCCAGCAGCCGCCGUAA
rnacentral:rRNA from 1 species